rnacentral:rRNA from 1 species
CCUACGGGAGGCAGCAGUAAGGAAUAUGGUCAAUGGACGCAAGUCUGAACCAGCCAUGCCGCGUGAAGGAUUAAGGUCCUCUGGAUUGUAAACUUCUUUUAUUUGGGACGAAAAAAGGGCCUUUCUAGGUCAACUGACGGUACCAGAUGAAUAAGCACCGGCUAACUCCGUGCCAGCAGCCGCGGUAAUACGGAGGGUGCAAGCGUUAUCCGGAUUCACUGGGUUUAAAGGGUGCGUAGGCGGGUAGGUAAGUCAGUGGUGAAAUCCUAGAGCUUAACUCUAGAACUGCCAUUGAUACUAUCUAUCUUGAAUAUUGUGGAGGUAAGCGGAAUAUGUCGUGUAGCGGUGAAAUGCUUAGAUAUGACAUAGAACACCUAUUGCGAAGGCAGCUUACUGCGCAUAUAUUAGUACGCUGAGGCGACGAAAGACGGUGGGGUAGUACAAACAAGGAGUUAGUAUACCCUACGGUAGUACCGACCGACCCUAACCUACUAGUAUACUCGACAUUGUUGUAUACACAAUAAGUAGUCUG